CCAAGAGAAAAAGAGAGAAACUGAAGUUUAACCGCGCAAAGAAAGCACAUUGACACUAUAGCAGGGCCAGUUUCUCUUGAUCAGUUUGAAGAUGGUCUGCUCAUAAGUAACCUUCUUGGCUGUCCUAACCACUUAUUGUACAAAACCUUGCGAUGCUCUAAAGAGCCAAACCUCGAUAGCAGAUCAAAGUGUAAGAACACAGCCUUGUGAAGAAUGUCAUCUCCCUUGCGUGAAGGUACUUUCCACUUUUCGUUCCUCUUUAGGCUAUCCAUGAUACUUCGGUUUUUCCAUGGGCUUUACUUCAUUGUUUAGACAGAUACUGUAGAUUUUUAUCAUCUCUCCCCUACUUCUCAUUUCGAGCCCUUAGGAAAUAUCAGAUAACUUCAAAAUCCGAGCUAUGAUUAGAGAUAAGAUCACCUCAGUGGCUCAGUACCAUCACUACAUUCUGUAUCAAAAUGUAAACAACACAGACCACCACUGUAAUGAAACCAUUUGGACAGCAGCAUUUUCAGUGAACCAGGGAAAUUUAUGACAAUUACAGGACAAUUUCAAGAAAUGGUAACAUGGGUUCUUCUAGAAAUUGAUAACUUGAUGUUGCUGGUCUUGAGUCAUGUCUUCUUCUUUGUCGGCCCCCACCUUGGCAGCAGUCCUCUAGUUCUUUUUUUUUCCUUUACUGGCUCUCAGUAGCGGCAGAACCAGGGAAGAAUAUGGCGAGAACUCGAAGCUGGUUUAUGACCUUGCCGACCAGGGUGAUGCACUAUGUUCCCUAAGAUAUGAUCUGACCAUUCCAUUUGCUAGAUAUGUAGCUACGAAUGUAUCACUUCGUUACCAAAAUUUCUAAGGUAUAUCGAAGGGAAAACCCAUCCAAGGGGCGAUAUGAAACCACAGGACCUGAUUUCGAGGUUGUUAAAGUUUUGACUGAACUGCUCGAUGAGUUAAACAUCAGCGGUUAUGAGUUAUUCGAGCAAGUGCGCCAAAGUUGGAAUUGGAUGCAACCUUUGAGUAGAAGGAUGACAUAAUAAGAUGGGAGAAGCUCAGGAACAAAGAAAAUGAGGCGUCAUACAAUUGCAGUUCCCUGGAAUGCCAUGUCAUCAGCUGGCAGUGUGAGCGAUAGUUUCAAUCAGUUAGUUGGUCCUGGAGUUUUCUGAUCUGGAGUCAACUACGACCUCAAGGGUGAAGAGACCAUGAGUUGGGGCUAACAAAAGAUCGGGGUCAUAAAAAGUGGGCGAGAAGUGAGGGGGAAGAGGACAACCACACGAACCUUUAAAGUUUUAGAGGUGCUUUUGCUUUGCUUAUGCUCUGUUGAACUUUCAAAAAUCUUGAAAUAAGUCUUCCUUUUUCAUUCGAGGAUAAUGAUGUGUUCUUUAGCUUUCUACUUGGUCAUAAUGAAAAGUCUUUUUUUUUUUUUUUUUUUCUUUUCUCCCUUUUGGACAUGUUACACCUUCCACUCUCUAUCCCCUGUAUAGUGCAGUCAAUAAGGAUUGAAAUGUA